rnacentral:rRNA from 1 species
ACCAUGCAGUCGAGCGGAGAGAGGUAGCUUGCUACUGAUCUUAGCGGCGGACGGGUGAGUAAUGCUUAGGAAUCUGCCUAUUAGUGGGGGACAACAUUUCGAAAGGAAUGCUAAUACCGCAUACGUCCUACGGGAGAAAGCAGGGGAUCUUCGGACCUUGCGCUAAUAGAUGAGCCUAAGUCGGAUUAGCUAGUUGGUGGGGUAAAGGCCUACCAAGGCGACGAUCUGUAGCGGGUCUGAGAGGAUGAUCCGCCACACUGGGACUGAGACACGGCCCAAACUCCUACGGGAGGCAGCAGUGGGGAAUAUUGGACAAUGGGCGCAAGCCUGAUCCAGCCAUGCCGCGUGUGUGAAGAAGGCCUUAUGGUUGUAAAGCACUUUAAGCGAGGAGGAGGCUACUUUAGUUAAUACCUAGAGAUAGUGGACGUUACUCGCAGAAUAAGCACCGGCUAACUCUGUGCCAGCAGCCGCGGUAAUACAGAGGGUGCAAGCGUUAAUCGGAUUUACUGGGCGUAAAGCGCGCGUAGGCGGCUAAUUAAGUCAAAUGUGAAAUCCCCGAGCUUAACUUGGGAAUUGCAUUCGAUACUGGUUAGCUAGAGUGUGGGAGAGGAUGGUAGAAUUCCAGGUGUAGCGGUGAAAUGCGUAGAGAUCUGGAGGAAUACCGAUGGCGAACGCAGCCAUCUGGCCUAACACUGACGCUGAGGUGCGAAAGCAUGGGGAGCAAACAGGAUUAGAUACCCUGGUAGUCCAUGCCGUAAACGAUGUCUACUAGCCGUUGGGGCCUUUGAGGCUUUAGUGGCGCAGCUACGCGAUAAGUAGACCGCCUGGGG